ensembl:snRNA U6 U6 spliceosomal RNA
GCUCACUUCGGCAGCACAUAUUGAAACAAUACAGAGAAGAUUAGCAUGGCCCCUGUGCAAGGAUGACAUGCAAAUUCGUGAAACAUUCCAUAUUUUA